rnacentral:tRNA from 1 species
GGCUUGGUGGUCUAGUGGUAUGAUUCGCGCUUAGGGAAAACCUACAGCACAGCUUGCGCGAGGUCCCGGGUUCAAUCCCCGGCCAAGCCC